rnacentral:rRNA from 1 species
CCUACGGGUGGCUGCAGUGGGGAAUUUUGGACAAUGGGCGCAAGCCUGAUCCAGCAAUGCCGCGUGCAGGACGAAGGCCUUCGGGUUGUAAACUGCUUUUGUACGGAGCGAAAAGGCUCUCUCUAAUACAGGGGGUUCAUGACGGUACCGUAAGAAUAAGCACCGGCUAACUACGUGCCAGCAGCCGCGGUAAUACGUAGGGUGCAAGCGUUAAUCGGAAUUACUGGGCGUAAAGCGGGCGCAGGCGGUUGAAAUCCCCGGGCUCAACCUGGGAACUGCCUUUGUGACUGCAUAGCUAGAGUACGGCAGAGGGGGAUGGAAUUCCGCGUGUAGCAGUGAAAUGCGUAGAUAUGCGGAGGAACACCGAUGGCGAAGGCAAUCCCCUGGGCCUGUACUGACGCUCAUGCACGAAAGCGUGGGGAGCAAACAGGAUUAGAUACCCUGGUAGUC